rnacentral:rRNA from 1 species
GACGAACGCUGGCGGCGUGCUUAACACAUGCAAGUCGAGCGGUAAGGCCCUUUCGGGGGUACACGAGCGGCGAACGGGUGAGUAACACGUGGGUGACCUGCCCUCAGCUCUGGGAUAAGCCUGGGAAACCGGGUCUAAUACUGGAUAUGACUCCAUGACGCAUGUUGUGGGGUGGAAAGCCUUGUGCGGCUGAGGAUGGGCCCGCGGCCUAUCAGCUUGUUGGUGGGGUGANAGCCUACCAAGGCGACGACGGGUAGCCGGCCUGAGAGGGCGACCGGCCACACUGGGACUGAGACACGGCCCAGACUCCUACGGGAGGCAGCAGUGGGGAAUCUUGCGCAAGUGGGCGAAAGCCUGACGCAGCGACGCCGCGUGAGGGAUGACGGCCU